rnacentral:rRNA from 1 species
GACGAACGCUGGCGGCGUGCUUAACACAUGCAAGUCGAACGGAAAGGCCCUGCUUUUGUGGGGUGCUCGAGUGGCGAACGGGUGAGUAACACGUGAGCAACCUGCCCUUGACUUUGGGAUAACUUCAGGAAACUGGGGCUAAUACCGGAUAGGAGCUCCUGCUGCAUGGUGGGGGUUGGAAAGUUUCGGCGGUUGGGGAUGGACUCGCGGCUUAUCAGCUUGUUGGUGGGGUAGUGGCUUACCAAGGCUUUGACGGGUAGCCGGCCUGAGAGGGUGACCGGCCACAUUGGGACUGAGAUACGGCCCAGACUCCUACGGGAGGCAGCAGUGGGGAAUAUUGCACAAUGGGCGGAAGCCUGAUGCAGCAACGCCGCGUGCGGGAUGACGGCCUUCGGGUUGUAAACCGCUUUCGCCUGUGACGAAGCGUGAGUGACGGUAAUGGGUAAAGAAGCACCGGCUAACUACGUG